rnacentral:lncRNA from 1 species
AGUUUUGAGAUGGGUAGUCAGGGUUCAGUAGACAUGGAGUCUUUCGUUAGAGGCAGACAAAGCAACAGAUAGCGAGCUGGAUUCUAACGACAGAGACAGAGGGACUUGGGUGGCUUCUCUUCAUUCAAGCAUAAUACAUAACCAUUUUCCUAAACAUAGCUAAGUCUGGCCUGAAACUCACUGUGCAGCUCAGACUGCUGUGGACUUGAAAUCCCCCUGCCUCAUCUUCAAGAGUGCGGGGACUAUCAAUGGCAUGAUUUAGUUUUUAAAAUUAAUAUAAUAUAUUUUAGGGGCAGAGUCAAGUCUUUACUAAAUGUCUUUUGUUCGACACGGGUGCGGCCAUGUCAAUGACCAGUGCUGCCUCAGCCCUGUGGGAAUAGGUACCAGAUGGAUGGGGCUCUGCCGGAUGGUGAAGGCUUCCUCCGGUCUGUGUGCAGAUGUUGAGAGUAUAUGCUGAAAAUGUCACCAAAGCUUUCUCUUCCCAGAUGUUUGUGUCCAGAAGACUGAUCUCUAGAGAGUACUGCCACCAAGAUUAGCUAAGCCUGCUUCCUUGCUCGGCUGUAUAUAAUACCCUGCCCCCUUGUUUGCCUGUAAUAAGCCUGCCUCUUUGUUCGAAUGUACGCAAUAACCCCACCUCCCAGUUCAAGUCUAUUAAUAAACACGUGGGGUUUAGGACCUCGGGGAAGGGUGUUGCGUUUUGCUCUUCUUUUUGCUCUUUCUGAUAGCAGUUAAAAGAGAGACAAGACUCAGGGUCCAGGGCUAGGAACAGGGCUGGGGGUGGUAUGGGGGCACGGGGUAGGGCAUCACUCAGUGGCUUAAAAGCACUUGACCUAAGUUUGGAUCCCCAGAACCCACUUAAAAGCCACACACAGGAGUGUCUGUAAUCUCAGUGGCCACGUGGGAGACACGGGAGGCAGAGAAGACAGGAAGCAGAACCUCUGGAGGUUCAUGGACCAGCCAGUGUGGCUUAUACAGUGGCCAAGAGACCCUGUUUCAAACACGGUGGAAAGAACUGACACCCAAAAGUUUUCUUUUGACCUGCACACGAGUGUCACGACACACAUGUCCCGGAACAUAUAAACAAGCAUAUGCUCACACGCCCACACGCCACCCUUGCCCCAUUGUCCUUCAACCCUAUAGCUCCUCCCACCAUGACUGAAAAUAAGCCACGCCCAGUGGCUCUUCCUGUGAUCUUUGUACUUGGGAGGCCGAGGCAGAAGGAUUGUUCAGGGCCACACAAUGAACUGUGGAGAGAGGCGAGGUGUGAGCGGGCAGGGCUGGGGUUGUUUUUCCCUAGUGUGUAGGCUCUGUUGUUACCUGAGAGGUGGGGGUCACACUUAGCUAGUUUCUUUUCUGCCUUGGGUGAAGUAGGCAGGGUGCCUGGCUCUCUUUCUGUCUCUAGGAGUUAAUGAUUCUACCCUCCACCUUGGAGAGACAGAGGGUCAAGCAGAACAGGAAACCUCGAGAGUUUUCCCUCCCCCUUGGACUUGUGGGUGUUUCAUUCUGCACCACCCCCCCUCAUCCCCAGCUUGUGUUUGCUAAGUGCUCGUAGGAAUAGGCCCUUUUGGCUGAUAUUUGAGCGAUAUUAACAUUUGCGAUGUCCUGGUGGCAGAGGCGCCUCACUC